UACGUAGGGGGCUAGCGUUGUCCGGAAUCAUUGGGCGUAAAGCGCGUGUAGGCGGUCCGGUAAGUCCGCUGUGAAAGUCGAGGGCUCAACCCUCGAAUGCCGGUGGAUACUGUCGGGCUUGAGUACGGGAGAGGCGAGUGGAACUGCGAGUGUAGAGGUGAAAUUCGUAGAUAUUCGCAAGAACACCAGUGGCGAAGGCGGCUACCUGGACAGGUACUGACGCUGAAGCGCGAAAGCUAGGGGAGCAAACAGG
rnacentral:rRNA from 1 species